UACGAAAGGGGCUAGCGUUGUUCGGAAUUACUGGGCGUAAAGCGCACGUAGGCGGCUUGGUAAGUUGGGGGUGAAAUCCCGGGGCUCAACCCCGGAACUGCCUUCAAAACUACUUGGCUAGAGGAUGUGAGAGGAUAGUGGAAUUCCGAGUGUAGAGGUGAAAUUCGUAGAUAUUCGGAAGAACACCAGUGGCGAAGGCGACUGUCUGGCACAUUUCUGACGCUGAGGUGCGAAAGCGUGGGGAGCAAACAGG
rnacentral:rRNA from 1 species